GUCCAGAACAAAAUUACGCUAGGGGCCAGAGAAAUCAAAAGGGCACUCACCCUGGAGGUAGAGGUUAAUAGGACGAACAGGCACUCAAAAUCACUCCUGUGUCACCUGGGACCCUCUACCCCCGCCCCUUGCUAGAGGCUGCUGACCCUGAAGAUGGAAAGACCAUUGCUAAUGAGAAACACUGCCCCGCCGUAGACGUUCGGAAGGAAGGUUUAAGGGUUAAACACUAGGCGAGGAAGAAGGGACUUUCUGUUCAGCGACGAAUUUCUCCCUCCCUCUGUCCCUGGGCAGCCAGCUGUUGAGAUGACUUUUUCCACUCCCUGCUGCUGUUGCCCUGAGCGGUGCUGGCCCUCAGUACAAAAUGGAUAACUUUCCGAUUUAGUGAACUGUAGCAAACGCCAAGCAAUUCUGAUUUUCUGGUUUCCUUGGGCCAUUUCGUGCUAUUGAUUUGUCUGCUUUCCUUUAUGUUUGGCCUUUAGUCUGGGUUUGUCUUCCCCUUAACCUUCUGCAAUGUCGGUGUCACAGUGCCUGGCCCUGCUAAGCUGACUUUUCGUUCUGAACUAGUCACUUUCCAGGCCUGGCUCUCCUCUGAACCCAAUCAGCCCCCGCCCAGUUGGUGUCCACGGCCAAAGCAAUGGAUCUAAGUCUGUUUGAUGACAUAUUUGGCCGCUUGGGACUGUGGUGGAUUCAGAUCACAGCAUGGACGGACACUCCAAUCAGUGGUGCAGUUUGCUAAGGAGCAACUUCUCCUCUCUCCUCCCGCCCCUCCCCCACAAUCAAAUUGACUGAACUCAGGCUGAUUAAGAAGCUAUGGAGACACCUGACCUCAGCCUCGAGUCUUUAGAACUUCCCUCUGCAUUCCGGUCUCAUUUAGCGGCUCUCAGAAAGCUUGACUGUGAAGGGAAACCGAAUUCCGGGAUGUCAAUGGGAAAGAAGAGAAAGCGUCCCCCCGUUUGCUGUUUCAGACGUAAUGGAUCCAGUUAGGAUAUCCUGGCCCCAACUGGGACAGAAUGUUUCAGGUGAAACUCAAACCUCUGGCUGGUUCCUCUGCCCUGGAUGAAGUAGCCGUAAGGUAAGGAUGCCUUUUUUUCCUUUCUUUCCUAGACAAAGGCUUAAUUUUCUAUUC
rnacentral:lncRNA from 1 species